UUAUUCAAAUAUUAUUGCAUGGUAUACCAGCACCUCUUUCAACUUCCAUUGAUCGUCAGUCAUAUCGAUGGACUGACGUGCUAUCUAUCAUUACUGUCUAAAGGAGGCCUAGUACGCCAGAUCAAGAAGAUGCAGAAUCGUUCCAUCCGUAACAGAAAAUCUGCGAUUAGAGGGGAUUCUAUUGGUGCAACACAACAUCGUGUCUCUCAUGGUUACAAAACUACAUUCUCAAUGUGCGUUGUUUUUGGGGCGCUGUUUACUUUGGCGAAUGUCGUGGUAGUGCUCGUUUUGUUUUUUGUCAGUGGGCAAUGUCAAACAUACUCAUACAAGUAGGCCUAACCUUUUUACAAAAGUUUCUUGAUUUUGUCUAAAUAUUUAUCAUCAAUGGUGGCGUUGCGGUGGGCAAGGGGUGGGGUCCAGCAAACAAUAAUACGUUCUAAGAACGUUAUAAUAACGUUAAAGUUUGGGGAUAAAAACGUUAUUUUGUAGAACCAUAUGUACGUACUUAUAAUACCCAUAGAAAAUGUCCCCCCACCACCCAAUCAUAUCAGUCGCUUGAUAUUAUGACGUAGGGCAUUUUCUUAUCCUGUAGUGCACUUUUAUCACCAUCAAUUCCAGCAAUUUGUUAAUUUUUUCCUCUUAUCUUAAAUUGUA